GGCUCGUUCGUCCAUCGGACAGGACACCGCUCUUUCAAGGCGGAGAGAUGGGUUCAAUUCCCAUACGAGUCA
rnacentral:tRNA from 1 species